UACGUAGGUGGCAAGCGUUGUUCGGAAUUAUUGGGCGUAAAGAGCGCGCAGGCGGUCGUGCAAGUCGCGUGUGAAAGCCCCCGGCUCAACUGGGGAGGGUCACGCGAUACUGCUCGACUCGAAGGCAGGAGAGGGAAGUGGAAUUCCCGGUGUAGUGGUGAAAUGCGUAGAUAUCGGGAGGAACACCAGUGGCGAAGGCGACUUCCUGGCCUGUUCUUGACGCUGAGGCGCGAAAGCUAGGGUAGCAAACGGG
rnacentral:rRNA from 1 species